AUGGCCGGAAGGAAGGGCGGCGAGAGGAAGAAGGCGGUGACCCGCUCCGUGAAGGCCGGGCUCCAGUUCCCCGUGGGCCGCAUCGGGCGCUACCUCAAGAAGGGCCGCUACGCCCAGCGCGUCGGCUCCGGCGCCCCCGUCUACCUCGCCGCCGUCCUCGAGUACCUCGCCGCCGAGGUCCUGGAGCUGGCCGGCAACGCGGCCAAGGACAACAAGAAGACGCGCAUCAUCCCGCGCCACCUGCUGCUCGCCGUCCGCAACGACCAGGAGCUCGGCAGGCUGCUCGCCGGCGUUACCAUCGCCCACGGCGGCGUCAUCCCCAACAUCAACUCCGUGCUGCUCCCCAAGAAGUCCCCCGCCGCCGCCGAGAAGGAGUCCACCAAGUCGCCCAAGAAGAAGACCGCCGCCAAGUCCCCCAAGAAGAAGACCGCAGCCACCAAGGAGUAG
rnacentral:rRNA from 1 species